AUCCUUGCGGGAGGGGCAGUGUGGCUACACGUGACGCCUUGCGGAUGUGCCAUUAUUGCUAGUUGAAAACUACUCCAAUUCCUGUCUGAAAGUUCGAAAGAGCUAUCAGCAAUUUUUGAAGGCUCUAGGGCUGACAAUUAUGAAAAAAGAG